rnacentral:lncRNA from 1 species
CAUUAUUUGGAUAUUAUUUUAUUUAAGUUUUACCAUUGUCUGUCUAGACAUAUAUCCCAAAAUUGGUUCUGUUCUCUUACUUUAUAAAAAAGAAGAUGUGGUAUGAUUGCCAAUGAGACAACUGUCCACAAGAGACCAAAAUGACACAGAUAUUAACAACUAUAGGUCACCAUACAGCCUUCAACAAUAAGCAAAGCCCAUAAAGCAGUCAGCUCUAAAAGGCCCCGAUAAGACAAUGUAAAACAAUUCAAACGAGAAAACUAACGGCCUUAUUUAUAUAAAAAAAAUUAACGAAAAACAAAAUAUGUAACACAUAAACAAACGACAACCACUGAAUUACAGGCUCCUGACUUGGGACAGGCACAUACUUAAAUAAUGUGGCGGGGUUAAGAUUUAGUUUGCCUUAACCAAAUGUUGCUUAUUACCAAAAAACACUGAUUUAAGUUUGAAUUUGGGUAGUGUCAGUUUUACCAUUCUAGAGUUAUAUGCC